UGGGAGAAUGUAUCUUGAAUUGUAGUUGUAACGUCCCUUUCUAUUGGUGGAAAUUUUUCUAGAGAAUAGUAACUGCCAAUCACAGUUGGUGUUGGUUAGAUCUAUUUAGUAUGGCCGAUCUCACAGCUGUCCACCUCAAGACGAGAAAAGCGAAGUGGCUUCACUCAGCGUCUGUCCUCCGACAUAAGCAGUACUAAAUAAUGUAAUCUGUUCAGAACUUGGUAUUAAUCUUGGCUUCCAUGCCAGCUUUAGGCUUUUUUUUUAGUAUUUGGCUCUGGAACCUUUUGUUCCAGCAGCAUUUUUAGUCUUUUGCCUAUGUAGUCGCUUUAAUUAAGAAGAGAGAGAGUAUCAAAUUGUCACCUCACAAUGGAGAUUUUUCUCCUAUAACCGCUACUAAAGCGGUGUAAGUACGGGGAUCAACGUACGAAUCCAUCAUUUCAUGGGUUCAUGAACGUGUGUCUUUAAGCCGCUGAGACGCCUCUGAAUCGAUGGCCGUCCUAGCUUGGGGUAUGCUGUCUCCUGUCCAUCUGGACGUGUAGAGCUCGAUCACCGAGCCUAGAUUCAAUUUGAAGAAACAGCUAUGAGUGUUGCAUCAAAGACCACCAAGUCUUGUGAAUGGCGAUUUUGCGUUUGAUUGAGCUGAUAGACGAUGGCUGCAGUGUUGAGUCUUGAUGUUGUCCGUGAUGCUGAUCUUCAAUAGCGGGUCUGGUGAGCCAACAUACUGUAAGGUUGGUGCC